UGCUGUUCGGCAAAAGCAUAGUGAGUUGUGGGCAUCUCAUUUGUUCCAAAAUUGUAACUAGGAACACAUUAACCUUAUAUCGAUCCCCUAUAUCGAUACUUCGAUAAAGGCAAGCUGAAAGUGUGGCAUCACUCCCGAUUCGCGGGAACUUUUUAUUUCGCAAAAAAGAAGAAAAUGUCGAGGGUGCUGCUGGUCAAAUGCAACGUAGACAAGUUCAUCGUUGGAGAGAAUGGCGAGGAGGGGGCUCCCCCCCAAACGCAAACAGCAAAAGGGCAAAAGGCCACAAAAGCGCCGCAAGACUGCGAAGGCGGCUGAUCAGGAGGGGGCGGCUAAUCAUUAGGCGGCUAGCCGGGAGGCGGCUAGCCAGGAGGCGGCCGCCGAUAAGGCUGAUGGCCAAUAAAUAAAUAUCAAGAAAUAAAAACAUCAAAAGUAAA